ensembl:lncRNA
AACGAGGGGCUUCAGUCACUGGGUCCCCACGUUCAGUGCCUUUAUCACAUCCCCAGGCACAUCUCAGACACUGUCCCUAACGGAGAGUCGGGCCCCAGGAAUUAAAGAGUCAGGGAGGGUGGCAGAAGCCAAUAGAAGCAAAAAUCUGCUCUGGCCCCAUAAGGCCCCUUGGGGGAGGUUUACAUCAGAACUGAUCUGGGUUCAAGAGCUGCUAAUGGGGUAGUCCCAAGGAUAGGCAACUCCAUCCCAGCCAGCAGCCCUCUCUGUUCACAAGAAAAGUGCUCAGACCUGCAGGAGUCAGAGGAGAGAAGCAAAGCUGAGGGAGAAGCACACGAAGCCAAGGUCUCCGCAGCAGCCAGCCAAGCUAAGGACCCAGCAGCCCUCCACUGAGUCAGGCCACUAGUUGCAGAUUUGAAUCCACGGCAGCUGUUACUGCAGGAGAGCUAUAGUUUCAUGCGCAACCUGGAAGGAUGCGCACCAGGAGGUCACGCUCCUUGAAGGUGUCACCAGAAGCACCUUGGUCCAGAAAUAAAACUCACGUCCCCGUUGCAUUAUUCUGUAUGUUUCUCACCUGACCUGACAGAAGGGUGUGUAAACGCGUGCGUUCACCGAAUCCAGGCUUCGUCCACGGGUAUUGUGUUGCGCUUUCACAAAGAGUCUCAGCGUCCUCGAAGCUGAAUGAAUGAUCCCUUUAUCUGGACAAGGAGAAAAGAGAAGGGAUAAAAUAAGCCAAAACUGAACUCCCAGCCGUAGGUUCUUAGAAGCUGAAUAUCUGGAGAUGGGCUUCUUCAAACACAAGGGCUCAGGUUGGGUACUCAAGCCACAAGAUGAAAUGAUUUUACUCCAUGACAGGUAGUUGAAGCCAGUUAUGUUAAAAUCAUUAAAGCAAAACAAACGUUGGGAUCCUGUGGCAUAGAAUUCAAAAUCCGUAUGAAUUUUGAAGAUAAAAUGAGAGACCGCCUUGGUGUUCUUCCUUGAGCAAAGCUCGCUGCCUUUUCCCCAUU